AUUGAACGCUGGCGGCAUGCCUUACACAUGCAAGUCGAACGGCAGCACGGGGGCAACCCUGGUGGCGAGUGGCGAACGGGUGAGUAACAUAUCGGAACAUGCCCUAGAGUGGGGAUAACGUAGCGAAAGUUACGCUAAUACCGCAUACGAUCUAAGGAUGAAAGUGGGGGAUCUUCGGACCUCAUGCUCAUGGAGUGGCCGAUAUCUGAUUAGCUAGUUGGUGAGGUAAAGGCUCACCAAGGCGACGAUACCUUAGCUGGUCUGAGAGGAUGAUCAGCCACACUGGGACUGAGAUACGGCCCAGACUCCUACGGGAGGCAGCAGUGGGGAAUAUUAGGACAAAUGGGGGGCAACCCUGAUCCAGCAAUGCCGCGUGAGU
rnacentral:rRNA from 1 species